CGUGGUAGGUUUGCGUAGAUCUGCGAAAGUUGUCGCGUUCCGUUCCACCUCUUUCUCGUCGAUAGCACUGGUUGGUGUUCAUUAAUUAUGUUCCGUCUACCUGGAGUUGAUGGAUCACCUGAUAGGGCUGCUGUGGAGGCAGAAAAGAGGAAAGCUAAACAAAAUGUUUCGUUCACAAUGAAAGUCUUUGUAGCCUACGUGGCGUUUUUACGCUUAGCUCCUUAUGCAUACAAAGCCUUUGCUGGAUAGUUCCGGUGGCUUGAGGGAACCCUGUGGUUCAUGAAUCAUGUUUGUUUCUAUGUUGUGGAUGUGGUUUUCUAAACAACGAUCUUCAUUAUGUUUGGCACUCUGGUUUGUCUAUGCAUCAUUUCUUUAAGAACAUCUGAUUCCAAUCCAGUGGUGAAAUCUUGAAGACAGUGCAGAAUUAAAGUAUGGUUCAAGAAAACGGAUGUUCAUCAGCUAAAUGACUGCAUAGUGUGGUUUUCAAGAACUCAAACCUGUAAACCUCAUACAUCAUGGAUGAGUUGUGAAAACUAUUUUACUGUUUUGUUCAUUAGGGAAAAGCUAAUUUGUGUUUUUAGGGAGUCAAAUUUUUUUAGCAAUAUCAUUGUGUCUGUGGAGGUGGGUGGUCUGAUAAAACAUUGUUAGAUCAGAUCACUCUUAUGUUAAAUACUUGUUGACUCUUAUGACCUGCAGUACUUAACCCUUUAACUCCCAAGAUUUCAUGACUAAUUCUCCUUACUGUCUGCCAUUCAACUUAUGUGAUGCUAGUUGGAGAAUUUAGAAUUGGAUCAACCAGUAGUUGCCCAAUUGAUAUUUUUUUUAUUCUCAUUCUUGUCUGCUUGAUAUCAUACUGAUAAUGUAAGGAGAAAUUCUGUCUUGGUCACUAGGGGGACUUAAAGGGUUAAACAGAAAACAAAAUUCGAAAGGAGAUGAAUCAUGGUAAAAAGAUUGUUGUUUAUUAUUUACCAAACAGAUUUCAAAGAUUUUGUCCAACCAUGAUUGGUUUUAUAAAUGUACACACAAGUAUUUCAAAGACAUUUUAUAUAACUUAGCACUUACUAAAUAACUGUAAAUUAGAGUGCAUGCCUUGCUGAAACAUUUAUUUGCUAUUCUACCAAGUUUUUUAAAAGCAGCAGACUAAAAGCAAUAAAAAAGUUACAAAUAGAAUUGAAAAGUUUAAAAGAAAAGAAGUCUUUGUCUUAGCAAUAACCAUGGAUUGAAUGUUACAAGACUGUGAAGAUGAAUCUCACCACUCCAUAACUCUUACAAAAAGCAUUAUAUUCAAUAAAAUGAGGCUACCUUUUAAAAUU